rnacentral:rRNA from 1 species
GACGAACGUGCGAACGUGUUCGGAAUCAUCGUGGCUUAAAGGGCGCGUAGGCGGGCUGCCGCGUCGCGGUGAAUUCUCCGGCUUAACCGGAGUAGUGCCGCGGGUACGGGCGGUCGUCGAGGCGGGUAGGGGGCGUGCGGAACACUGGGUGGAGCGGGUGAAAAUGGCGUUGAUAUCCAGUGGAACUCCGGUGGCGAAGGCGGCACGCUGGACCCGAUCUGACGCUGAGGCGCGGAAAAGCCGGGGAGGCGAAACGGGG